rnacentral:lncRNA from 1 species
UGGCCUUAAUAGAUUACUCUGGCAUCAUAUUCAGAGUGAGCAUGGCUUCGAUGACAGUCUCUUGUGGUAUUUCUGUGGAGCACGUGCUUCCAAGAAGGAUGGCCACUAGACAGUGCAGUCGCUCUCAGUGGGGAUCAUGGUCCUCACUAUCGAGAGAUCUCUUCCUCAAGGCUCUCAAUGGCCUACUGGUGCAGCCUUCACCCAUCG